GACGGAGGAUGCAAGCGUUAUCCGGAAUGAUUGGGCGUAAAGCGUCCGCAGGUGGCUAUGUAAGUCUGCUGUUAAAGAGUGAGGCUCAACCUCAUAAGAGCAGUGGAAACUACAUAGCUAGAGUGCGUUCGGGGCAGAGGGAAUUCCUGGUGUAGCGGUGAAAUGCGUAGAUAUCAGGAGGACACCGGUGGCGAAGGCGACGUCCUGGACCGGCAUUGACGCUGAGGCGCGAAAGCCAGGGGAGCAAACGGG
rnacentral:rRNA from 1 species